rnacentral:lncRNA from 1 species
GCAAUAGUUGUUGCUUUCUCUUCAAGCAGUGAGUCUAAAUUAUACUUCAGGCAUAUGAAGAAUGAUUUUGGUCCAUGUCAACCCUCUGGAACUAAUCUGCAGUUUUCUGUUGCAUUUUUCCUGUCCUGAAAGGCAGCAAGACAUUGAACAACUAUGAACGAAUUGGACUGACACUAACUAUGUGGGCAACCUAAAACUUCCCAGAAUUGACAAAGAAGGUAAAACUCCUUGAGUCUACUUGAUACAACCAGGUAGGUACCUUUUACUUUGAGAGUCAUUUCAUAAG